rnacentral:rRNA from 1 species
UACGGGGGGAGCAAGCGUUGUUCGGAUUUACUGGGCGUAAAGGGCGCGUAGGCGGCCUGUUAAGUCGAACGUGAAAUCCCCGGGCUCAACCCGGGAACUGCGUCCGAUACUGGCAGGCUUGAAUCCGGGAGAGGGAUGUGGAAUUCCAGGGUGUAGCGGUGAAAUGCGUAGAUAUCUGGAGGAACACCGGUGGCGAAGGGCG